GUCUGAAAAAAUUUCCUCUACCUUCUCUCUACACUUUAGAAACCACAGCUGCAACUGCACGGUUGAAAAUAUUUUUUUAAAAAAAAAAUUAUUUGUCUGGCGAAGUCAUCACCUUUUGCUCCAGGAUGAUAAUUCAUCUUAAUCCUCGAUUCUUUUUAACACCGUUUUUUACUUCAUUUUUUCCAGUUUUAUUUCAUAUAUAUAUCAACAAUACAGCAACACUGUACUGAUGGCAAAAUCGGCGAUCGCUUAGUUACACAGAUCAGAACGACAGUGGGAAAUAGCCGCUGGAAAUACUACAGAUCUGACAGUCUCUGAGCUUAGUAAAUUAGAGGUAAAAGAUGGCAUGGAGCGUCACCAAAGACCAGCAGAUGUUACCGGAAAGCCAAUAUCUCCUUUCUGCUAUUUCUUCAUAUGUACGGACUCAUCUUAUAGCACUUGUGGCUUUAAGAGAUAUUUCUCGACCCAUAAUGUACAAAGGAGCCAUAUGGAUGCAACUUGGGAGUUCUUCGGUACAUUUGCAGUGGAUUGAAGACGUCAUUUAUAGGAUUGAGGAUUAAUGCAAGGGUUGCGGAUACCAAAGAGUCCCACAGGAAAUCAUAAAUGUAAUCCUUAAAUUCAUUAAUUCAAAAAAAUUUGGACUGCUCGGUUCCUUUACUAAAAAAAAAGACUUCUCGUUUACUACGGAGUAAUUUUUAUGACUCAUAAAUUGGGAACCAUAAUCCUAACAAUCCAUGACAGUACGACACCGUUUCUUUUGGCGGGAAA